rnacentral:rRNA from 1 species
AUUGAACGCUGGCGGCAUGCCUUACACAUGCAAGUCGAACGGUAACAGGUCUUCGGAUGCUGACGAGUGGCGAACGGGUGAGUAAUACAUCGGAACGUGCCCAGACGUUGGGGAUAACGAGGCGAAAGCUUUGCUAAUACCGCAUACGAUCUAAGGAUGAAAGCAGGGGACCGCAAGGCCUUGCGCGUUUGGAGCGGCCGAUGGCAGAUUAGGUAGUUGGUGGGAUAAAAGCUUACCAAGCCGACGAUCUGUAGCUGGUCUGAGAGGACGACCAGCCACACUGGGACUGAGACACGGCCCAGACUCCUACGGGAGGCAGCAGUGGGGAAUUUUGGACAAUGGGCGAAAGCCUGAUCCAGCAAUGCCGCGUGAAGGAUGAAGGCCUUCGGGUUGUAAACUGCUUUUGUACGGAACGAAAAGGCUCUGGCUAAUACCUGGGGCACAUGACGGUACCGUAAGAAUAAGCACCGGCUAACUACGUG